UCCCUGGUGGACCAGUGGUUAAGACUUGGCACUUGCACUGCAGUGGCCCAGGUUCAAUCCCUGGUCAGGGAA